GACCCCGCACAAGCGGCGGAGCAUGCGGCUUAAUUCGAUGAUACCCGUAGAACCUUACCAACCCUUGACAUCCUGUGCUACAUUCAGAGAUGAAUGGUUCCCUUCGGGGACGCAGUGACAGGUGCUGCAUGGCUGUCGUCAGCUCGUGUCGUGAGAUGUUCGGUUAAGUCCGGCAACGAGCGCAACCCACAUCCCUAGUUGCCAGCAGUUCGGCUGGGCACUCUAUGGAAACUGCCCGUGAUAAGCGGGAGGAAGGUGUGGAUGACGUCAAGUCCUCAUGGCCCUUACGGGUUGGGCUACACACGUGCUACAAUGGCAUCUACAGUGGGUUAAUCCCCAAAAGAUGUCUCAGUUCGGAUUGUCGUCUGCAACUCGACGGCAUGAAGUCGGAAUCGCUAGUAAUCG
rnacentral:rRNA from 1 species